rnacentral:rRNA from 1 species
AUUGAACGCUGGCGGUAGGCCUAACACAUGCAAGUCGAACGGCAGCACAGUAAGAGCUUGCUCUUACGGGUGGCGAGUGGCGGACGGGUGAGGAAUACAUCGGAGUCUACUUUUUCGUGGGGGAGAACGUAGGGAAACUUACGCUAAUACCGCAUACGACCUACGGGUGAAAGCAGGGGAUCUUCGGACCUUGCGCGAUUGAAUGAGCCGAUGUCGGAUUAGCUAGUUGGCGGGGUAAAGGCCCACCAAGGCGACGAUCCGUAGCUGGUCUGAGAGGAUGAUCAGCCACACUGGAACUGAGACACGGUCCAGACUCCUACGGGAGGCAGCAGUGGGGAAUAUUGGACAAUGGGCGCAAGCCUGAUCCAGCCAUACCGCGUGGGUGAAGAAGGCCUUCGGGUUGUAAAGCACUUUUGUUGGGAAAGAAAAGCAGCAGGUUAAUACCCCGCUGUUCUGACGGUACCAAAAGAAUAAGCACCGGCUAACUUCGUG